rnacentral:rRNA from 1 species
UACGGGGGGGGCAAGCGUUGUUCGGAAUUACUGGGCGUAAAGGGCUCGUAGGCGGCCAACUAAGUCGGAUGUGAAAUCCCCAAGCUUAACUUGGGAACUGCAUCCGAUACUGGAUGGCUUGAAUCCGGGAGAGGGAUGCAGAAUUCCAGGUGUAGCGGUGAAAUGCGUAGAUAUCGGGAAGAACACCCGUGGCUAAGGCGGCUCUCUAGUACGGUACUGACGCUGAGACGCGAAAGCGUGGGGAGCGAACAGG